CCUUACUUUAUUUUAUAUUUCAUGACUAACUAACCCGACUCAUAUUUUAUAUUUCAUGAUUAAUUGACCCGACUUAUUUUUUAUAUUUCAUGAUGAAUUAACCCGGAUCAUAUUUUAUAUUUCAUAAUUAAUUAACCUGACUCAUAUUUUAUAUUUCAUGAUUAAUUAACCCGACUCAUAUUUUAUGGGCCCUCUAAGUAUUGUAGGUACGUUAUUUCAGCAGCAGAGCGCGCUGUUUCAUAACACCUUACUUCACACUAAAGUCCACAAAAAUGUCUUUGUGCGUGUGUUCUGUCCCAUAGACACUGACACUUUUCUUAAUAAAUGUGUUUCUUGUGAACUUCGCCAACCUGACACGUAUUUUAAAUUCUAUUUGUCCCGAGCAAGUGUUCUGAGCCAAUCAUUCAGUCUCUAAUUCGUAUCCUGAACGUUUUCCAAACAGACGCCGUAACGCCGUCAAGUAUUCCUUUGCUAAUCGGCAGUCCCAAGAAGUUCUGCCGCUGCCUACAUUCUUUAAAAGGCUCUCGGUAGUAGCCUACAUACCUUUUGUCAUAUACAUGAAGAAAUGGCCAUUGUGUCGUGAACAUAAAUGAAAAUGUAGUCUUUUAUCGUGCUUUGUAGAUUAGUAGCUGUAAAGACUCUACUGGCCAGGAAUAGGUUUACCUGAGCAGUCGCUUACCUGUGGUGACGUAAACUCGCAUAGAUUGGAGAUCUCGGGCGUUGAGUCGGGGGAGGAAGUUGUGAAAUAGCCUACACAUUUUGUUUGACAGAAGAGACGAACUCUUGCAGGACACAACUACGUGAAAAACAUUGCGAAUAUGUUAUCGCCAUUGGGUAAGUGUUCUGAGUUUUCUUGUCGCCUACUUCUCAUUGCGACAGUCUUACUUGUGAUUAGUCCAAGUCCGUGGGAAUGUACCCUACCAUCAGACACGUACAGUUAGCCGUAUCGGUACUAAUUCGGACACUGACUGCACAGCAUGAUUUUGCCCUCUAGGAAAAUAUGAAACAAAUAAACAACCUACAUGGAGACAUACUUUACGGCCUGACAAAAAGGUUACAGGUUCUCACACCUCUUAGGUUUGUCGUUUCAAAGCUGAGGUUUUGAGUAACUGUUUCAUGGUUU
ensembl:lncRNA